rnacentral:lncRNA from 1 species
AUUUUUGUCCAUAGCACAGAAAAUCAGGCUAUUGGUGAAACUGGACAGUGGUGUAAAUGUGAAAUGCCUUAUAGAAGUAUGGUGUCACAAUGACCACCAUAUAUGACCCGAAGAAACAGAAGGAUAAACUGUCAAAAUUCUAUGCUGAAAGGGAUGAACAGAAGAAAAAUAGGAAAACACUGCAUAAAGCUAAAAAUGAAGAUUUCGAUUACCAGCUGAAGGGGUGGAUCUAUCAGCAUUGCAGUGAACACAUGACACUCAGUAUGUUGAUGAGGAAACAAAGAUCUAUCACAAUGAACUGAAAAUUGAAGGCAAUUGUAAAUAUUCAACAGGCUAGUUGCAGAACAUUAAGAAAAGUCACAGCAUUAAAUUUUUCAACUUUUAUGGUGAUAAAGCAUCUGCUGAUCAUGAAACAGCCAAGAAAUUCAGUGACAAGUUUGCCAAGGUCAUUGCUUGUGCAAAUCUGAUGCCAGACUUUCUGUUUUUCGCGUGCAUUGUGCUACUCAGCUGAAAACAGUAUUAUGAGAGAGAAGUACCUCAAAAGACAACACUUUACUCAACCCAGAAGACUUACUAUAAGUUCUCAAAUAGUAGGUGCCACUUCCAGCUGGGGGAGAAAUGAGAGCUCUGUUUGUGGUGAUCCAGUAUCUCCAGAGUCCAUCACCACUGCUGACCUCCCACUCUACAUCUCCAAGCGCUCUGCUAUACCUGCCACGAGCAGCUGUCACCUGCAGACUUUGGAAGGUUACAACCAAACCUCUGUCUUAUGA